rnacentral:lncRNA from 1 species
UUAUACAAGUGGGCGCCUAUUUAAACUAAGACUGAAAAUAUUCCUCUCAUUAUUACAGGUGGGCACCUAUUUAAACUAAGACAUGAAAAUAUUCCUCUCAUUAUUACAGGUGGGCGCCUAUUUAAACUAAGACUGAAAAUAUUCCUCUCAUUAUUACAGGUGGGCGCCUAUUUAAACUAAGACUGAAAAUAUUCCUCUCAUUAUUACAGCUGGGCGCCUAUUUAAAUAAGUACACUGAAAAUAUUCCUCUCAUUAUUACAGGUGGGCGCCUAUUUAAACUAAGACAUAAAAAUAUUUGAACUUGUUUUCCUCGUUCCUCCGAGAAAAUUUUGACAACAGCAAAAUAUUUUCUGCCCCGAUUUUGGUGACCUUUCUGGCAUCGCGUCCUUCUGCCAUCAUCAACCUUUAUUUUCCUGCAGC